UGCAAUUAUACAAACUAUAGCUAUAACAUAUAAAUAUGAUUUUUAUGUUUGCUAUAUGUGAAAGUUGCUCUAUAAUAUAUCAAAUAAAAAAAUAUUUUGACAAGAUUUCUAAUUAAUUGAUUUGAUAAAAGGAAGUGUGUACAUUGUCGCUCUGCCUGCCUUUCAACAGUGCCUAGAGGACAGGCCAAAUGCAACAAGGCGACAACCGGUGAGUGAUGGGGGACUGGAGAUGUACAUCUCAAGGCACAUCAUGACCUACAUGUAACACCAGCAAGGCCUGAACUAAAUAUCAGUCCAAACUUUGAGGUAUUGAAAUGGGUUAACAAUCAGCCAAAACUUAAAAUGAAUUAGAUGAGUUAUAUUAUUAUCUUAUGAACUAAUUUUAUCACCUUCGAAACAACAUUUUAAAAGAAUCCGAACGACAUUUUGGACUACAUAUGCAGUAUAGUCAGUACGUUUGGUAAGUUGUGACAGUUGAUUCCCUUCCCUCUCAAAGGGGUGAGAGUCCUUAUCCAUGACAUGUCUAUCAAGUAUCAACCAACCAAUAAUAUUUCAUUCACAAUAAACCUCAUGAAAGCUAAGUCCACAAAACUCCUAACAAAAAAAAAUCACUUUCUUUUUCUCCCCCCUAAGUAUCUGCACGUGAAUUCCCAAUAAUUUCUCAUGCAUUUGUGGGGUCCCCUCCCCCACACCCCUACCCCUUUUGUUUUCAUGCCUAACUCCAUAAGAAUCUCAUUCUCUCCAACUCUUUUUUCUUCAUGUCUAUUAUAGACCUUUGUUGUGUAUGUUCAUCUAUAGAGAGCUUUAAAACAAUGUCACUUUGUCAAUAUUCCAUUGUAUUUGCUCUUCUUUUUGUAGGAGCAUUUGGAUAUGGAGAUAAUGAACUAUUUCUCCCACUCAAAACACUUCAAAAGAUGCAUCACAAACAUAAUGAGCCAAGUUGUUCAUCUCAAAAAUCAAGUAAGUCUAUUGCAAAAACAACAUUGUGUACAUAUAUUGAGAUGUGGUUAAUUAUCAAACUCUUUCUUGGGAUCUGUUAUCAUAGAUUUAGCUAUUUUUCUCUGUUUCUCAAAUCCCAAUAGACUAAACAUUAUGUGAUUUUCCAGGGAGUGAAAAUGGAGCAAUUAUACUGGAAAUGAAGCAUAAAGAUUACUGCUUUAGGUCAAGGGGUGACUUGAACAAAAGGCUGCAGAAGAGAUUGCUAGCUGAUGAUAUUCGAGUUCGUUCGAUACAAUCUAAUAUCAAGAAAAUCAGUUCUAAGCAAGUUGAGGCUUUAUCACAGACUACUACUACUCAAAUUCCUAUCAAUUCAGGUGUUACAAUGCAGACUCUAAAUUACAUUGUUACUGUGACAUUAGGCGGUCGAAAUAUGACAGUGAUUGUGGAUACAGGAAGUGAUCUUACUUGGGUUCAAUGCCAACCUUGUAGAUUGUGUUAUAAUCAACCAGAACCACUUUUCAACCCCUCUAUUUCCCCUUCUUUUCAAACAGUUGCAUGCAAUUCAUCAGCCUGUCUGUCUCUUGAAUCUGCAACUGGGAAUUCAGGAUUGUGU
rnacentral:lncRNA from 1 species